rnacentral:rRNA from 1 species
GGAGGGUGCAAGCGUUAAUCGGAAUUACUGGGCGUAAAGCGCACGCAGGCGGUUGGAUAAGUUAGAUGUGAAAGCCCCGGGCUCAACCUGGGAAUUGCAUUUAAAACUGUCCAGCUAGAGUCUUGUAGAGGGGGGUAGAAUUCCAGGUGUAGCGGUGAAAUGCGUAGAGAUCUGGAGGAAUACCGGUGGCGAAGGCGGCCCCCUGGACAAAGACUGACGCUCAGGUGCGAAAGCGUGGGGAGCAAACAGGAUUAGAUACCCUGGUAGUCCACGCCGUAAACGAUGUCGAUUUGGAGGCUGUGUCCUUGAGACGUGGCUUCCGGAGCUAACGCGUUAAAUCGACCGCCUGGGGAGUACGGCUSCAUGUUA